GUGGGGAAUCUUGCGCAAUGGGCGAAAGCCUGACGCAGCCAUGCCGCGUGGAUGAUGAAGGUCUUAGGAUUGUAAAAUCCUUUCACCGGUGAAGAUAAUGACUGUAGCCGGAGAAGAAGCCCCGGCUAACUUCGUGCCAGCAGCCGCGGUAAUACGAAGGGGGCUAGCGUUGCUCGGAAUUACUGGGCGUAAAGGGAGCGUAGGCGGACAUUUAAGUCAGGGGUGAAAUCCCGAGGCUCAACCUCGGAACUGCCUUUGAUACUGGGUGUCUUGAGUGUGAGAGAGGUGAGUGGAACUCCGAGUGUAGAGGUGAAAUUCGUAGAUAUUCGGAAGAACACCAGUGGCGAAGGCGACUCACUGGCUCAUUACUGACGCUGAGGCUCGAAAGCGUGGGGAACAAACAGGAUUAGAAACCCGGGUAGUCC
rnacentral:rRNA from 1 species